rnacentral:rRNA from 1 species
GGAGGAAAAGAAACUAACAAGGAUUCCCCUAGUAACGGCGAGUGAAGCGGGAUGAGCUCAAGCUUAAAAUCUCCGUACAAGUUUUGUGCGGCGAAUUGUAGUCUAUAGAGGCGUGGUCAGYGCGGGCGCUUGGGGUAAGUUCCUUGGAAGAGGACAGCAUGGAGGGUGAUACUCCCGUUCAUCCCUGAGUGGCUCGUGCGUACGACCCGUUUUCUUUGAGUCGCGUUGUUUGGGAAUGCAGCGCAAAGUAGGUGGUAAAUUCCAUCUAAAGCUAAAUAUUGGUGCGAGACCGAUAGCGAACAAGUACCGUGAGGGAAAGAUGAAAAGAACUUUGAAAAGAGAGUUAAAGAGUACCUGAAACUGCUGAAAGGGAACCGAAUCGUUUCCAGUGUCUAUAAUCCGUGGCAUAUUUCAUUGGCGAGUGUGUGCGUGCGUGUGCUGUGGCAGCGGCUUUUGGCUGCGCUUGGCGCGUGUGCUGUGUGUACUUGCUGGUGCCCUGUGCUGCGGUGGGACGUCAAGGUCAGUUCGUAUGCUGCGGGAAAUGGCUGCCGAGGAGGUAGGGCUUACGCUUGCGUUUGUCUGUUAUAUCUUGGUAGACGAGUCGUCGCGGUUGGGACUGAGGUGCCUACAACGUGCUUUUGAGUGAGUUUGUGUCUCCGUGUGUGCCGUGUGCGGAUAGCUUGCUAUGCGUGUGUGGUUAUGUGUGGAUUGAUGCGGGCUUUAACUUGUUGCCGUUCGGGACGUUGACGAAAUGGAGCGAUCCGACCCGUCUUGAAACACGGACCAAGGAGUCUAACAUGUGUGCAAGUGUUAGGGUGUGGAAACCCCAGCGCGAAAUGAAAGUAAAGGGCAGCGCAAGCUGUCUGAGGUAGGAAACGUUGCGGGCUUCGGUCUGCGGCGUGGCACUAUCGACCGAUCAUGAACCUUCGUGGUGAAAGAUUUGAGUUUGAGCACAUAUGUUGGUACCCGAAAGAUGGUGAACUAUGCCUGAGUAGGGUGAAGCCAGGGGAAACUCUGGUGGAAGCUCGUAGCGAUUCUGACGUGCAAAUCGAUCGUCAAACUUGGGUAUAGGGGCGAAAGACUAAUCGAACCAUCUAGUAGCUGGUUCCCUCCGAAAUUUCCCUCAGGAUAGCAGCAACUUAUUUACGAUAGUUUUAUGAGGUAAAGCGAAUGAUUAGAGGAUUCGGGGAAGAAACUUCCUCGACCUAUUCUCAAACUUUAAAUCUGUAAGACCUGCAGGUUUCUUAAUUGAACUUGUGGAUG